UACGUAGGGGGCAAGCGUUGUCCGGAUUUAUUGGGCGUAAAGAGCGUGUAGGCGGCCUGGAAGGUCAGCUGUGAAAACUCGAGGCUCAACCUCGAGACGUCGGUUGAAACCACCUGGCUAGAGUCCGGAAGAGGAGAGUGGAAUUCCCGGUGUAGCGGUGAAAUGCGCAGAUAUCGGGAAGAACACCCGUGGCGAAGGCGGCUCUCUGGGACGGUACUGACGCUGAGGCACGAAAGCGUGGGGAGCAAACAGG
rnacentral:rRNA from 1 species